GGCCCGAUAGCACAAUUGGAUAGUGCAUCUGCGACACAUGGGCUUCGAUCCGUAGGAUUCAGCGGAAGAUCCCUGUUCAAUUCGGGGUUAGGCCA